AGAAAUAACUUAACCCUAAUCCACUGAAGAUAAGCAGGGUUGAGUCUGGCCAGCACCUGGAUGGGAGACCUCCUGGGGGAAACUAAGGUUGAUGCUG
rnacentral:rRNA from 1 species